UGCAGUCGAACGGCAGCACAGGAGAGCUUGCUCUCUGGGUGGCGAGUGGCGGACGGGUGAGGAAUACAUCGGAAUCUACCUUUUCGUGGGGGAUAACGUAGGGAAACUUACGCUAAUACCGCAUACGACCUUCGGGUGAAAGCAGGGGACCUUCGGGCCUUGCGCGGAUAGAUGAGCCGAUGUCGGAUUAGCUAGUUGGCGGGGUAAAGGCCCACCAAGGCGACGAUCCGUAGCUGGUCUGAGAGGAUGAUCAGCCACACUGGAACUGAGACACGGUCCAGACUCCUACGGGAGGCAGCAGUGGGGAAUAUUGGACAAUGGGCGCAAGCCUGAUCCAGCCAUACCGCGUGGGUGAAGAAGGCCUUCGGGUUGUAAAGCCCUUUUGUUGGGAAAGAAAAGCAGCCGGUUAAUACCCGGUUGUUCUGACGGUACCCAAAGAAUAAGCACCGGCUAACUUCGUGCCAGCAGCCGCGGUAAUACGAAGGGUGCAAGCGUUACUCGGAAUUACUGGGCGUAAAGCGUGCGUAGGUGGUUGUUUAAGUCUGUUGUGAAAGCCCUGGGCUCAACCUGGGAAUUGCAGUGGAUACUGGGCGACUAGAGUGUGGUAGAAGGGUAGUGGAAUUCCUGGUGUAGCAGUGAAAUGCGUAGAGAUCAGGAGGAACAUCCAUUGGCGAAGGCAGCUACCUUGGACCAACACUG
rnacentral:rRNA from 1 species